AACGAACGCUGGCGGCGUGCCUAACACAUGCAAGUCGAGCGAGAAAGCCCGCAAGGGUGAGUAAAGCGGCGCACGGGUGCGUAACACGUGGGUAAUCUGCCCUAGAGUCUGGAAUAACUCGCCGAAAGGCGUGCUAAUGCCGGAUGAGACCGCGGGAGCUUCGGCUCCUGCGGGAAAAGGUGGCCUCUGUAUACAAGCUAUCGCUCUAGGAUGAGCCCGCGGCCCAUCAGCUAGUUGGCGGGGUAAUGGCCCACCAAGGCAACGACGGGUAGCUGGUCUGAGAGGACGAGCAGCCACACUGGAAAUGAGACACGGUCCAGACUCCUACGGGAGGCAGCAGUGGGGAAUCUUGCGCAAUGGGCGAAAGCCUGACGCAGCAACGCCGCGUGUGUGAUGAAGGUCUUCGGAUCGUAAAGCACUGUCGCGAGGGACGAAUAAGGGUCGGGUGAACAAUCCGGUCCGAUGACGGUACCUCGAGAGGAAGCACCGGCUAACUCUGUGCCAGCCGCCGCAGUAACAC
rnacentral:rRNA from 1 species